UUUAUAUUGUUCACCCUGAAGAUAAGCACCUGGUCAAACCACCUCUGCAUGUCCCCGCUGUGCCAUAUCCAUUUACAGACUGAGGAGACCAGGCUGAUUCCACCACAGACUUCAAGUUGGCAGUUAAGGAGACUAAGCUAAGAACUGGGCAAGUCCAGGCAGGUCAACUACUAAUAGAAAAAACCCAGGCUCCAGCCUUCAUGACAAGGUAAUGGAAUGUCCCAGCCACCGGGCCUGAGGCAAGGACAAUGGGUCAGCAGUUUCCAGACUUCCUCAGCUUCUUCCUCACUGUCUUUCAGUCUUUGAAAGGCUUGGAGUCAGGAAAGGCUCGAGUUGCUCAUUAUACAGCAAGAGUGAGGCAGAAGUGGACUUACUGUGCAGCAUAACUCACCCUGUGCUAGAAGAUGUUCGCAUGCAGAAAGGAACAAGGGGAGUGUUCCCAGCCAGAAGUUCCUAGGAUGCGCAACAACACGGGGAGAGAAAAAAGGGAUACCGGCAGAUUUUAGCCCGGAAGAACAGUCUGGCUGGGGACCGAACCCAGGGCCUUGCGCUUGCUAGAACCUACCUAUGCGUCUGAAGGAGAGAGUCACCACCCGCCCGCAAGCUGGCCUCUGACCUUCACGGAGAAGCCACACCAUGUGCACACUCAAAGAAUAAAAGAAUAAAUGAGGGCUGGAGAGAUGACUCAGCAGCUAAGAGCACUGACUGCUCUUCCAGACGUCCUGAGUUCAAUUCUCAGCAACCACAUGUCGACUCACAACCAUCUGUAAUGGGAUGCGAUGCCCUCUUCUGCUGUGUCUGAAGACAGCGACAGUGUACUCACAUACAAAUAAAUAAAUAAAUCUUUAAAAAGAAAAGAAAAAAGAAUAAA